rnacentral:rRNA from 1 species
GAUGAACGCUGGCGGCGUGCCUAACACAUGCAAGUCGAACGAAGAUCUAGCUUGCUAGAUCUUAGUGGCGAACGGGUGAGUAAUACAUAAAUAAUCUGCCCAUAUGACUGGGAUAACUAUUGGAAACGAUAGCUAAUACCGGAUAGGUUGAUUGGAGGCAUCUCUGAUUAAUUAAAGUAGGAUUUCUACACAAAUGGAUGAGUUUAUGGCGCAUUAGUUAGUUGGUGGGGUAACGGCCUACCAAGACGAUGAUGCGUAGCCGACCUGAGAGGGUGACCGGCCACACUGGGGCUGAGACACGGCCCAGACUCCUACGGGAGGCAGCAGUAGGGAAUUUUCGGCAAUGGGCGCAAGCCUGACCGAGCAACGCCGCGUGAGUGAUUAAGGCCUUCGGGUUGUAAAGCUCUGUUGCAAGGGAAGAACAUUCAGGAUAGGAAAUGAUCUUGAACUGACGGUACCUUACCAGAAAGCCACGGCUAACUACGUGCCAGCCGCCGCCGUAAUAC